rnacentral:rRNA from 1 species
AGUACGUGAAACUGCUUAGAGGUUAAGCCUGAUGAACCUGAAUAUCCAUUAUGGAAAAUUCAUCACUAAUACUGUGUUAUUAAUAAUAUCAUAGAAAUAGUGUGCAAUUUUUCCAUAUAAGGACAUUGUAAUCUGUUAAUGUAAUAAAUAUUUAUUAAAAAAUCUUAUACUAUAGUUUAUUCAAAUUAGUUAUUUUCGAAUUUCUAACAUAGAAUAAAUGUAUUUGAUUUAAUAAAUCAUUGACAGAUUUAUUUAUAUAUAGUGCUUAAAUUUUUUUUUAAAAUUUUACAAUAUUAUAUUAAUUUUAUUUAUUAUAUUUAUUGUAUGCACUUAUAUGAUUUACAAUGCAAUAGAUUCAGGAUACCUUCGGGACCCGUCUUGAAACACGGACCAAGGAGUCUAACAUAUGUGCAAGUCAUUGGGUAUUUUUAAUAAAACCCAAUGGCAUAAUUAACUUAACUGUUUUUAAAUGGGAUUAGUUUAUAUUUUGUUAUGAAUUAUGAAUUCAAUCCCGGGGCGUUCUAUACAGUUAUGUAUAAUGAUAUUUAUAUUAUUUAUACCUCUAACU